UGAGGCAAAGUUAUCAGGGACAGACCCAGGGGAUGCUUCGGAGAGGCGCCAGUGCAAGGAGAGGGCACGUCUCAUCCCUAAGACCAUACACUCCCAAAAUGACCCUGCUUUUCUCCUAAUUUUAAAGUUAGGAAGUAACAAAAGAAAAAAAUUAAGGGAAGUAGAUGAGAGAAACUAAAAAAACAUUAAUUUAAAGAAAGUGAAGGCAGGUUGCCUCUGAGCUCAGUUCCAGCCCCGGAGGGCAACGGGCAUCAGCUGAGCACCAGGGAGACAACCCAGGCAGCAGGACAUGUGGCUGCUCCCGGUUCUGUUCCUUCUCAUCGUCCAAGCUUGGGCUGCCCGAGUCUCUGCUCUGGACGAGCCAAAGACCAGACCAUCCUCCAGUGUCAUAAGAACAACAAUGGAGACAGGGACAAAGAGCUCUGGUGGCACCAGGAGCGACCCAGUUGGCUGCAGAAUGGUAGACACCAUAGAAGAGACACUGUUUGAUUCAAGCCUUGAGGAAUGAAUAGAAAGUCUUGAUUCCUACAAGCAGAGAAAAGAGAACAUUCCAGACAGAGGGAACAGCUUGUGUAAAGGCCACUUCUCCAUCUGCCAGGAGGGGCUGGUGAGAGGCACGGAGGGGGGGACACUGACAGCGUACUGUGAGUAUACCCCGGGAUGGGAAUCCUACAAGAAGUGGUGGUGCCGCGGGAAGAACUGGAUUUCCUGCAGAAUCCUUGUAAAAACCAACGGGACAGACGAACUGGUGAAGAAGGACCGAGCGUCCAUCCAGGACAAUAGCAACCGACGCACAUUCACCAUGAUCUUGGAGAAACUCCGUCGAGAUGACGCAGACACCUACUGGUGUGGGAUUGAGAGAACCGGCGUUGACCCGGUGUACAAAUUAUCUGUGAUUGUCGACCCAGCACCAGUUCUAGCAGGCUCUCCCAAGCCUGUGCCAGGACCCACACCAGCCAGCUGGGAUUCCUCAUUUCCACUUACCCAGGGCAUCACCAGUAACCAGCCCGUGACUCUGAUCAACCCCAUCAGCAGGUCAGGAGCCCUGGCCUCCAUGGUAGCAGCCAAGAAGCCUCCUGCGUGGAUCGUCCUGGUGCCUCUUUUCCUUGUGACCCUGCAGUGGCUCUGCCGAGGAUAACGGACUAUCACAGCGUUCAGGACUCUGGCCAAGGAUGGGUUUUAAAAUCCCAGACCUACCAGUAACUAUGGAACCAGAAUUAAACCAAAAAGCUUCCAAGUGUUGCACGUGGUCAGAGACCCUGAUGGGCCAGAUGUUCCAGCUGCCGCUCUGUCCGUGUCUCCUGGAGGAAGAAUCACCUGAAUGUAAGACAGAAGACAAGGUUGGACCAUCCCCGACCCGCAUCCCAUCUGUUUGCUCCGCACAUUUCCUAUUAAAUCUAUGGCUUUCCUG